rnacentral:rRNA from 1 species
UACGUAGGGAGCAAGCGUUGUCCGGAAUCAUUGGGCGUAAAGCGCGCGUAGGUGGCCUCAUAAGUCCGCUGUGAAAGUCAAAGGCUCAACCUUUGAAAGCCGGUGGAUACUGUGAGGCUAGAGUACGGAAGAGGCGAGUGGAAUUCCUGGUGUAGCGGUGGAAUGCGCAGAUAUCAGGAGGAACACCAAUUGCGAAGGCAGCUCGCUGGGACGUUACUGACGCUGAGACGCGAAAGCGUGGGGAGCAAACAGG